rnacentral:rRNA from 1 species
AACGAACGCUGGCGGCAUGCCUAAUACAUGCAAGUCGAACGAGAUCUUCGGAUCUAGUGGCGCACGGGUGCGUAACGCGUGGGAAUCUGCCCUUGGGUCCGGAAUAACAGCGGGAAACUGCUGCUAAUACCGGAUGAUGACGUAAGUCUAAAGAUUUAUCGCCCAGGGAUGAGCCCGCGUAGGAUUAGGUAGUUGGUGGGGUAAAGGCCUACCAAGCCUACGAUCCUUAGCUGGUCUGAGAGGAUGAUCAGCCACACUGGGACUGAGACACGGCCCAGACUCCUACGGGAGGCAGCAGUAGGGAAUAUUGGACAAUGGGGGCAACCCUGAUCCAGCAAUGCCGCGUGAGUGAUGAAGGCCUUAGGGUUGUAAAGCUCUUUUACCCGGGAUGAUAAUGACAGUACCGGGAGAAUAAGCCCCGGCUAACUCCGUGCCAGCCGCCGCGGUAA